rnacentral:tRNA from 1 species
UCCCUGAUAGCUCAGUUGGUAGAGAAUCUGCCUGCAAUGCAGGAGACCCUGGUUUGAUUCCCGAGUCAGGAA